GCCCCUAUAGCUCAGCUGGUAGAGCAUCUGAUUUGUAAUCAGAGGGUCGGGAGUUCGAGUCUCUCUGGGGGCACCA
rnacentral:tRNA from 26 species